GGAACAGCAACCCCUUAUUGAUGGCGGGAUUGAUGAAAUUCUGUUUUGAUGCACGUCAAGACGAAUGAGUCGUGAAAGGCUUCCAAAGUUAUCUGGUAUAACAGUGAGAAAGUUCUUCGAUGCAUUAAGUUCUGUAAGCAUGGUCCACGAUGCCAUCAAAUUCCCAGAAAAACUAUUUAGCUUGUUUCCCUCGAAAUCUACUUUCGUCAAUUUUGAACAUUUUGCUAGAUCUUCAGGCAAGCUGGUGAUGAAGUUGUUUGACACCUUCAAUUCAGAUAAAUCUAAAC
rnacentral:misc_RNA from 1 species